rnacentral:rRNA from 1 species
AGUGAACGCUGGCGGUAGGCCUAACACAUGCAAGUCGAACGGCAGCACAGUAAGAGCUUGCUCUUACGGGUGGCGAGUGGCGGACGGGUGAGGAAUACAUCGGAAUCUACUUUUUCGUGGGGGAUAACGUAGGGAAACUUACGCUAAUACCGCAUACGACCUACGGGUGAAAGCAGGGGAUCUUCGGACCUUGCGCGAUUGAAUGAGCCGAUGUCGGAUUAGCUAGUUGGCGGGGUAAAGGCCCACCAAGGCGACGAUCCGUAGCUGGUCUGAGAGGAUGAUCAGCCACACUGGAACUGAGAAACGGUCCAGACUCCUCCGGGAGGCAGCAGGGGGGAAUAUUGAACAAAGGGCGCAAGCCUGAUCCAGCCAUACCGCGUGGGUGAAGAAGGCCUUCGGGUUGUAAAGCCCUUUUGUGGGGAAAGAAAAGCAGCAGGUUAAUACCCCGCUGUUCUGACGGUACCCAAAGAAUAAGCACCGGCUAACUUCGUG